AUGCUCACCUUGGCAGCACACAUACUAAAACUGGAAUGAUAACAGAGAAGAUUAGCAUGGCCCCUGCACAAGGAUGACAUGCAAAUUUGUGAAGAAAGAAAGAUUCUU